AGACCACUACCUUCCAUACACCACCCUGGAGCCUCCCUGUGACGGGGCUUCCUGACCGGCCUGUCUGAGCAUGAAAGGGCUGAGCCCUCCAUAGGCGGGCGUGCUGACAGGAUGCACGUGGUGGAGGACAUCUGCUGCAUUUGGCUGUGUGACAUCUCCCCCUCGCCUUCUGAACAGGCUACUAGGAGCCUUGCUGAGGAAGCCGGCAUGCCCAAACCAGCAAGGAGCAGCUGUGGCCACAGAGAGGAAGGAGAGCUGCAGGACUAGCCCAUUGCCCAGGAGGCCUGCUUAGGUCUCUGCAGAGGCCAUGAAAAAUGUGCCAUUCAGCUUUUCUGCUAAUUGUUGAAGGCCCAGCUGCCACCGCUCUGGAUCUACACCCCAUUUGCAAUGAAGCCACACAUCUCGUGAGCCACUCCCAGCCCGUGACUGGGCACAGCAGGGGCCCUAACGCAGGAUAGCUCUGAGGAGGUGUGGGACCCUUGACAGUGGAGGACAUUGGCCCGAGAACUCUUCAUCGACCUGAUCAAACCUCUCUUGGAACUGCAAAGCAGUCUGAGACUCUUCUCCCAGUUUAUUAUCUCCCUAUUAACUAUCUAUAGUGUAGCUCAUUGGAAAAGAGUCAUUAAUUUUGAUUAUCAAAU
rnacentral:lncRNA from 10 species